UCUGUGAUGAUGAGCCGCGCAGGGGUACGGACCUCAGCCAAUGAUGGGGGCUGACUGCUGCUGCGCUCUGAUUGGAGGACGAGUGGUCAGCUGACAGAGCGGCAGCAGCAGGAAACAGACGCCGCGCUGAACAGA